GAUGAACGCUGGCGGCGUGCUUAACACAUGCCAGUCGAACGAUGAAGCCCAGCUUGCUGGGUGGAUUAGUGGCGAACGGGUGAGUAACACGUGAGUAACCUGCCCUUAACUCUGGGAUAAGCCUGGGAAACUGGGUCUAAUACCGGAUAGGAGCGUCCACCGCAUGGUGGGUGUUGGAAAGAUUUAUCGGUUUUGGAUGGACUCGCGGCCUAUCAGCUUGUUUGUGAGGUAAUGGCUCACCAAGGCGACGACGGGUAGCCGGCCUGAGAGGGUGACCGGCCACACUGGGACUGAGACACGGCCCAGACUCCUACGGGAGGCAGCAGUGGGGAAUAUUGCACAAUGGGCGCAAGCCUGAUGCAGCGACGCCGCGUGAGGGAUGACGGCCUUCGGGUUGUAAACCUCUUUCAGUAGGGAAGAAGCGAAAGUGACGGUACCUGCAGAAGAAGCACCGGCUAACUACGUG
rnacentral:rRNA from 1 species